GUAGGUGGCAAGCGUUAUCCGGGAAUUAUUGGGGCGUAAAGCGCGCGCAGGCGGUUUCUUAAGGUCUGAUGUGAAAGCCCACGGGCUCAACCGUGGAGGGUCAUUGGAAACUGGGGAACUUGAGUGCAGAAGAGAAAAGCGGAAUUCCACGUGUAGCGGUGAAAUGCGUAGAGAUGUGGAGGAACACCAGUGGCGAAGGCGGCUUUUUGGUCUGUAACUGACGCUGAGGCGCGAAAGCGUGGGGAGCAAACAGGAUUAGAUACCCUGUAGUCCACGCCGUAAACGAUGAGUGCUAAGUGUUAGAGGGUUUCCGCCCUUUAGUGCUGCAGCUAACGCAUUAAGCACUCCGCCUGGGGAGUACGGUCGCAAAGACUG
rnacentral:rRNA from 1 species